rnacentral:rRNA from 1 species
AAGUCGAACGGUAGCAGGAAGAAAGCUUGCUUUCUUUGCUGACGAGUGGCGGACGGGUGAGUAAUGCUUGGGAAUCUGGCUUAUGGAGGGGGAUAACUGUGGGAAACUGCAGCUAAUACCGCGUAUUCUCUGAGGAGGAAAGGGUGGGACCUUAGGGCCACCUGCCAUAAGAUGAGCCCAAGUGGGAUUAGGUAGUUGGUGGGGUAAAGGCCUACCAAGCCUGCGAUCUCUAGCUGGUCUGAGAGGAUGACCAGCCACACUGGAACUGAGACACGGUCCAGACUCCUACGGGAGGCAGCAGUGGGGAAUAUUGCGCAAUGGGGGGAACCCUGACGCAGCCAUGCCGCGUGAAUGAAGAAGGCCUUCGGGUUGUAAAGUUCUUUCGGUAAUGAGGAAGGGAUGUUGUUAAAUAGAUAGCAUCAUUGACGUUAAUUACAGAAGAAGCACCGGCUAACUCCGUGCCAGCAGCCGCGGUAAUACGGAGGGUGCGAGCGUUAAUCGGAAUAACUGGGCGUAAAGGGCACGCAGGCGGACUUUUAAGUGAGAUGUGAAAUCCCCGAGCUUAACUUGGGAACUGCAUUUCAGACUGGGAGUCUAGAGUACUUUAGGGAGGGGUAGAAUUCCACGUGUAGCGGUGAAAUGCGUAGAGAUGUGGAGGAAUACCGAAGGCGAAGGCAGCCCCUUGGGAAUGUACUGACGCUCAUGUGCGAAAGCGUGGGGAGCAAACAGGAUUAGAUACCCUGGUAGUCCACGCUGUAAACGCUGUCGAUUUGGGG